rnacentral:misc_RNA from 1 species
GCAAGUUUGAAGUUGUGAAAAUCUUGUAUUUAUACACAAGUGUGGAUCUUUCAACUAACAAAUUUGAAGGACUUAUUCCAAGUAUUAUGGGAGAUCUCAUUGCACUUCGGGUGUUGAAUUUGUCUAACAAUGGAUUACAAGGUCAUAUACCGCCAUCACUUGGAAAUUUAGCGGUAGUAGAAUCAUUUGACCUUUCAUUCAACCACCUUUCUGGAGAGAUACCGGAACAACUUGCUUCGAUAACAACUCUUGCAGUGUUAAAUCUCU